rnacentral:miRNA from 1 species
CAUGGGUGGGAAACUUUUCC